rnacentral:rRNA from 1 species
UGAAACCUGAUAUGACUUAGUGGCGGACGGGUGAGUAACACGUGAGCAACCUGCCUUUCAGAGGGGGAUAACGGCUGGAAACGGUCGCUAAUACCGCAUGACGUGUUCGGAUGGCAUCAUCUGAACAUCAAAGAUUUAUCGCUGUGGGAUGGGCUCAUGUCUGAUUAGUUAGUUGGUGGGGUAACGGCCUACCAAGUCUACGAUCAGUAGCCGGACUGAGAGGUUGAACGGCCACAUUGGGACUGAGAUACGGUCCAGACUCC